CUUCCUCCACCCUCCACCAUCACCCCCUCUCUCUCCCUCUCCAAUUCCGGCGAAAGUCCGGCGACUUACGGUGGAACCAGGGUUUUCCGGCACUAGUACACAAAUGAGCCAAAGAUGCCAUGGCAAAAGCAGAAGAUGCAGUUAGAUCCCGUAAACCGCAUCUUACAAACUUAAAAAAAAAGAAAAUUGCACCAAAAGAUGUGGUUUUCCCCAACCGUAUCUUAUACAUUCUACUUUUUUAAUAUACAUUUGAAAAGCAAUUUAAAAAAAUUCAAUUCCCUCCGUUUGACCUACUUUUUCCCCAAAAUUAUUUGGUUUCCCUCCAAUCUCAAAUCCUAUCACCCCUUAAUCGACCUAUUGGAUUCAUAUUCCUCUCUAAUCUCAAACCUCAAAGACCUAAUUUUCUCAUAUUUUGAUCACAACCCGCCGUUUGUAGAAGAUGAGGGUUCUAGAACGAGAUUGCUGAAUGUUCCCUGGACUUGUACUGCUGAUGAUAUUCGUCCUCUGUUUUAGAAGUAUGGCACCGUUGUUGAUAGUGAGGUUUGCUAUUUCACAUAUCUUUUUGUUAGGUUUUGUUUGAUUAUUGUUUCGUUUAUCUGGGUUUUGUCCUAAAACUUGGAGACAAGUGAUUCCCUAGUAUUUUAACCUACAAUGUAGAAACACAAAUGGACAAAUCUUUUGUAAAUACCUUGGAAUAAAGAAGACGAACUGCUGGCGGCGUGGAAAGAUGCCCGGACAAGGUUUUCUUGGAUCGAUGCAUCAUGGUCCAGCUUCGAAAUUGGGGUUGGAUUCACCGGUUGGCUCGCCAUUUCGUUGCUUGUUUUCUAACUCGUGGAACUCAUUCACUCGGACAUUUAUGGUCCAGUCUUACCUAUAUUUCAUAGUGGAAAUAGGUUUAAUGAGUUUUGCCUGGAGAAUGAGAUUGAACAACAGUUGACAACAUGGUUCAUUCCAUGACAAAAUGGCGUGAUUCUUUAAUGUGGUGAUUACAUUAUUGGCUGCCACAAAAGUUCCAAUUAUGUUUCGGGCUGGGGCAAUGGUUUGGGCCUUCUAUGUCUUAAAUCGGUGUCCAACCAAGAGUCUUUCAAGCGUCACUCCACAAGAAUCUUGGAAUGGUUCUAACAGGGUCGGCCUUGAGAAUUCGUGUACCCUUUUCGAGCUCGAAAAAAUGUGCCCUUAGGCCUUAAUGAAAUUGGGUAUUGGGCUCUCUAAAGGUCUAAACCUAAUGCCAAAGGGGUUAAUAACCAAUCUAAACUAUAAGAAUAGUUUUGUAAGGGGGCCUAUGUUGGUGUUUGUAUGGGUGUACCGUAUUAAACUAAUAUUUUACAUAUACAUAUCGAGUUAUUUUCAUAAAAAAAAAAACGUGCCCCUCGAAAUAUCGGGCCCUAGCCGGUGGUCCUCCCCGCCCACCCCCAGGGCCGGCCAUGGGUUCUAAGCCAACAGUUGGGCACUUUCGGGUGAGGGGUUGCAUAGCUCAUGUUCACGUGCCCAAAGAGAAACGCAUGAAGUUGGAUGGGAGAAGCAUUACUUGUGUCUUAACGGGAAUUAGUGAAUGGUCCAAAGGGUACAGACUUAUUAAUCAUUCAACUAUGAUAAUAAUAGUUAGUAAAGAUGUGAUCUUUGAAGGAACUAAGGCGUAGAAUUAGAUUGAAGUUCAAGCUGGAAAGGUUGAUGAAGAUCUGACAAGGCGUGACAGUGAAGUGAAUUCAGAAGAAAAUGAAGGUAAUUCUUAUGUUGAGCCAAAUGUGAAUACUAGUGGAUCCACUAUCAUGCAAGGUGGUGUUACUAAAUAUGUUCCAGGUCCAAGCCCUACAUCAGCUAGGGAGGGCAGACAAAGGAGAGAACCAAGUUACUUGCGUGACUAUAUAACAGGUAAUGAUGUCGAUGAUGAAGUAAAUGUUCUUGAGGUUGAUCACCAAGACCCUAUAACCUAUGCAGAGGCUGCUUUGUUGGCGGUUUGUUAGAGUCUAUGGAAAGAAACCAUACGUGGGACUUGGUGGACCUUCCAAAGGAUGUAAAGUGCAUUGGUAUUUAUGGGUGUAUAGAACAAAGUUUAAUGAAAUGGGAAAGAUAUAUAAGGCUUGCUUGGUCGCCAAUGGGUACAGGCAAGAAUAUGGAAUUGAUUAUAUCAAGGUUUACACUCCACUUGCCAUAAUGGAUAUUAUACAUAUCAUGAUUGCGAUGGCAGCUCAGAGGGGUUGGGAUAUAUUGCAAAUAGAUGAUAAGUCUGCUUUCUUGUAUGGAACCCUCGAAAAAGAUGUGUAUCUCCAACAACCCAAUGGCCAUGCUACGAAGGGAAGUGAGAACAAGGUGUAUAAGCUUCGAAAGGCCUUAUAUGGACUUAAGCAAGCAUACCCAGGGCCCGGCUCAGUCGCAUCGAGUCAUAUUCUUUAUCAAGGAAGGAUUCAUGAAAAGCGGAAAUAAACAUACUUUGUUAAUAAAGAAAGAUUCAAGGGGUAGUGUUUUGUAUGUUAAUGUGUGUCGAUGACUUAAUCUACACAGGAAAUGAUCAAGGAAUGCUGUUGAGGUUUAGAUCAUCCAUAGAAAAGGAAUUUGAGAUGUCAUAUUUGGGCUUGAUGCAGUACUUCUUAGGAAUUGAGGUUGUCCAAACCGAGUUUGAGACUCGCAUUUCUCAAAGAAUGUAUGCAGCUGAGAUACUAAAAAGAUUUAUAAAGAUGGUGGAAUGCAAUGUUGUUGUAAAUCCAGUUACACCUGGAUGCAAAUGCAAGUUGGUGGCUAGUGCAGAUACUCGAGAUGAAAUUGUUUUUAAGCAAAUGGUGAGAAGUUUAAUGUAGAUCAAAACCAUAAAUGGUGGGAAACAAAUUGAGGCAUGUUGCACUACCAAAAGGAUGCUUAGAUAUUUGCAGGGCACUAUGGAUUUUGGAAUUUGGUACAGGCGAGGACAAGGAGAAAUGAAAGUAUGCACUAACAAUGAUUUUUCAAGGGAUUUGAAUGACAAAAAGAGUACUUCUGGAUAUGUUUAUUUAUGGGAUAAUGCUGGAGUGGCAUGGUGUUCAAAGAAACAAUAUAUAGUUGCAUUGUCUUCCACAGAGCUAGGUGGAAUAUGUUGCUGAUGCAACUUGUGCUGGUCAGGUGAUGUGGGCUUGAGAGGUACUUGAAGAGUUUAGAGUCAAGAACGAAGAUGCAACCGCUGUUAGAUGUGACAAUACUUCCACAAUAAAGCUAUCAAAAUAAUCCAGUUUUUCAUGGGAGGUUUAAGCACAUUGGAGUUGGAUUUCGUUUCUUGCGAGAUUUGGUGAGCAAAAGGGAAAUUACUUUGGAGCAAUGUGGUUCUUGAGAGCUGACGUUCCCACUAAACCUUUGAAUCGGGAAGUCUUCUUAAACCCACCCGAGGAAGGAGCUUGGAGUUUGCAAACUGGAUGAUGACCCUCCAUCAAGUUUGAGGGAGGGAAUGAAAGAAUAAGUGCAUGCACAUUUCUCGUGGGUUUUUGGUUGUUGAUUUACUUUUGAAUAAGUUAGUCAAGUCAGUCUAACAUUGGGUUGUUGCUUGGUUUACCGAGUCUUUUGUUACUUUUCAGUUCUUUUGUGUUGUAUGUUAUUUCCCUUCAUUCACUUUUUGUAUUUAAGGAUGCUUGCGUAUGAAUAAGAUUAUCAGAAAAAUGUUUUGAGCUA